UGGCGGCGUGCCUAACACAUGCAAGUCGAACGAGAAAGUGGAGCAAUCCAUGAGUACAGUGGCGUACGGGUGAGUAACACGUGACUAACCUACCCUCGAGUGGGGAAUAACUUCGGGAAACCGAGGCUAAUACCGCAUAAUGUCUACGGACCAAAUGCGCAAGCAGCUUGAGGAGGGGGUCGCGGCUGAUUAGCUUGUUGGCGGGGUAACGGCCCACCAAGGCAAUGAUCAGUAGCCGGCCUGAGAGGGCGCACGGCCACACUGGAACUGAAACACGGUCCAGACUCCUACGGGAGGCAGCAGUGGGGAAUUUUGCGCAAUGGGGGAAACCCUGACGCAGCAACGCCGCGUGGAGGAUGACGCCCCUUGGGGUGUAAACUCCUUUCGAUCGGGACGAUUAUGACGGUACCGGAUGAAGAAGCACCGGCUAACUCUGUGC
rnacentral:rRNA from 1 species